GAAAGGUCUUCCCCACCCUGUCUCUCUGUGUCUUGUUUUCCUUGGUAAUGGAAGCAAUGGCAAUAUGGUUAGGAGGAGAGUGGCCUGCCAGGAUUUUAGCUUGCCUGGGAUCAACAGACAGUUUUUGACUUCAUAAUAUGCAGGGAGUCACUCCCUGAUGUCCAGGUUCCUGACAUUGGGUUUUCUUGUAUGACAUCUUUGUAUGACAACUCUCAAACUGUCAAUACCACAGGUUACUAGAAGAUUGCCAGUUUUCUAUUGUUUAGAGGGCCAUUUUGGGAUAAAGAUGAGUCUGAAUGAAUUCUUUUACCACCCAGCUUCCAUGUGCCAGGAUGUGCAUCUGAAGAAAAUGCCCUGUUUCAUCUCUCCGUCUGUCUCCAAAGUAACCUCCCAACAUCACCUGUGAUCAGGAUCAGGGCUGGACUGCUAGGAGACCUAGGUGUGUUUUCCCACUUCCCCCAGGAACGCAGCCAGAAAAAGCAAUGACAUCCAGGAGCCAUCUGGGAAUGCUUCCCAGACCUGCUCUAAAUUGGGGCACAGAGCCAGCUGCACACUCCUGAGCUUUGGAGUUCACCUGGAUUAGACUCACUGCAGAGGGGUUUAUCAUCAAGGAUGAUUUAUCUGGGGUCCCAGCUCUCCAGCUUUUGAAGGCAGAUGUCAACGGAACAUAACAGGAUGUCAGCCUCCUAGGACAUACAGCAGGGUAGAGAAUAGAGGGCUAGCAGAAACCACUCCACAGAAGAGCCACGCGUUAUUACGAUUUUAGGCUCCUGGGCUUGGAUACUUUUUUUUUUAAGGUCUCACACUAUGAAAAGCCAAUUAUGCCUGUUAUAGAUGGCCAAAGAGAAGAAAUCAAUUGAAGAACAACUCACACUCCGUGUUACAAGAAUAAAAUGCAUUAUUGGUCCUCAGUUUUUUGCCAAAUCAAGAAAUCCAGAAGUAAUUCAAAGUCAGGGCAUCAUCAUCAUCGUCAUUAAAAAUAUAAAUGUUCUCUACUUUUGCCAGGACUAAGCAAUUAACUAAAUUGAAUGUGUAUAUUUCCUCCCAUUGUCCUCACCACAACCCUAUAAUG